UGGGGGGAUAUCGCACAAUGGGGGGAAACCCUGAUGCGGCGACGCCGCGUGAGUGAAGAAGUAUUUCGGUAUGUAAAGCUCUAUCAGCAGGAAAGAUAAUGACGGUACCUGACUAAGAAGCACCGGCUAAAUACGUGCCAGCAGCCGCGGUAAUACGUAUGGUGCAAGCGUUAUCCGGAUUUACUGGGUGUAAAGGGUGCGCAGGCGGGCGUCUAAGUCAGCGGUGAAAGUUCCCGGCUCAACCGGGUCAGUGCCGAUGAUACUGGGGGUCUUGAAUGCGGUCGAGGCCGGCGGAAUGUGGCGUGUAGCGGUGAAAUGCAUAGAUAUGCCACAGAACACCGAUAGCGAAGGCAGCUGGCCGGGCCUGCAUUGACGCUGAGGCACGAAAGCGUGGGGAUCGAACAGGAUUAGAUACCCUGGUAGU
rnacentral:rRNA from 1 species